rnacentral:rRNA from 1 species
CGACCCGAAAGCCUUCUUCACUCACGCGGCGUUGCUCCAUCAGACUUGCGUCCAUUGUGGAAGAUUCCCUACUGCUGCCUCCCGUAGGAGUUUGGGCCGUGUCUCAGUCCCAAUGUGGCCGAUCAACCUCUCAGUUCGGCUACGUAUCAUCGCCUUGGUGAGCCAUUACCUCGCCAACUAGCUAAUACGCCGCGGGUCCAUCCAAAAGCGAUAGCUUACGCCAUCUUUCAGCCAAGAACCAUGCGGUUCUUGGAUCUAUGCGGUAUUAGCAUCUGUUUCCAAAUGUUAUCCCCCACUUAAGGGCAGGUUACCCACGUGUUACUCACCCGUCCGCCACUCGUUCCAUGUUGAAUCUCGGUGCAAGCACCGAUCAUCAACGAGAACUCGUUCGACUUGCAUGUAUUAGGCACGCCGCCAGCGUUCAUCCUGAGCCAGGNUCAAACU